UACGGAGGGUGCGAGCGUUAAUCGGAAUUACUGGGCGUAAAGAGUGCGUAGGUGGUUGAAUAAGUUAUCUGUGAAAUCCCUGGGCUUAACCUGGGCAGGUCAGAUAAUACUGUUUAACUCGAGUAUGGGAGAGGGUAGUGGAAUUUCCGGUGUAGCGGUGAAAUGCGUAGAGAUCGGAAGGAACACCAGUGGCGAAGGCGGCUACCUGGCCUAAUACUGACACUGAGGCACGAAAGCGUGGGGAGCAAACAGG
rnacentral:rRNA from 1 species